ACUGAACACACGCACCGUAACUCUCUGGUUGGCUGCUGGAAAAAGGUGUGGAGUUGCUGGCAUCCUUACUAUGACAUGGUUGAGAGCUCUGCAGUUGAUGGCCUUUAAUUCGAGAGCCCAGAAGGUCCCAUGGCGAACUGAAUGUGACAGAUAGCACUUUUUUUGAUUCAGCUUCAGGAUUGAUUUCUAACCUCAGAAGAACCACUAAAACAUUGUCUGGGAUCCUACCUGUGUGCGAGAGCAGAUGGAAUAGCCAGAGGAAACAGAGACAGGGUCAUCCCCAGAUCACUCACAGACAGGUUCACAAUAAAAAACUCUGCUGGCUUCAGGCACAAUCUCUUACGGUACGCAACAAA